GUGUUUUUUUCUUUCGUGAGAGUCACAAUUUUGCUUCCGUGAGAGGCAUGGUUUUUCUUUCGCGAGAGUCACGGCCGUGUCUCUUGGAAAUGGAAAAAAACACGUUUUCUGUUUUUUUUCUUUCACGAGAGACACGGUUAUGCUUUAGCGAGAGUCACGGCUGUGCCUCUUGGAAACGAAAAAAAAACGCAUUUUCUGUUUUUUCUCCUUUCGCGAGAGUCAUGGUUUUGCUUCCGUGAGAGGCACGGGUGUGUGAAAGUGCGUUAUAUCGACUAGAGGGGGGUGAAUAGGCGAUUUUUACAAAUUCAUCACUGAGAAAUUUCUAGGUGAAGAAAUUCCUAAGCAAUGACACACUAGCAGCGGAAUAAGUACUCAAGUAUAAGCAUAACAGAGCAACAUCAUAGUCAUCAUGAUAAAAUAAAAACAAGCACAGAGUACAGAUAGCGUGAAAACAGGAUAAGUAAACUAAAGACUAUGUGACUGAAGAAUUAGUAUUGAGGAAAUAGAGAAAAUCUUCAGUCAAAGUCUUCACGCAGUAAUGAUCAAAUUCAUCAACACAUUAAUGAGAAAAUGGAAGGGUCGAGAAAAUAGAACCAAUUGGCUUGGUGAAGACAAUGAUUUAGUAGACCAGUUCCAACUACUGUGACAGUUGUACGUCUGGUUGGAGCGGCUGCGUAUUUAAACCCGAGGACACACAGUCCUCACCGUAUUCUCUUUGAGCUAAAGUCAUACAGACCUCGCCCAAUCACUCGUGAUAACUCUUCAGGUGACUUCCAAACCUUCACAGACUCGGUCACUCGGCGAUUCAUAAUUUCUCUUGGAUGCUUAGACCAUGGCGCCUAACUGUCUGGAGGAUACAUAGUCCUCAAAGGUAACAAGCGUCGGUUCCACACAGGAACAAUCUCUUCAGUGAUGCUCAAUCACUUUGAAUUUGUAGGUGUUUGGGUUUGGGUUUUCCUUGAUGAUUUUCGCUCAAAGUCCUCGGAGGAUGGGAUGCUCUCAAUGACAAUUGUCAAUUUCUCUCGGAGCAGCCAACCAACUAGUGGUUGUAGGAGGCGGCUAUUUAUAGCCUAAUGAACAGUCUGACAUGAUAAGACAUAAAUACCCUUCAAUGAUAUGACCGUUAGGUGGGUAGCUAUUUUGGGACAGCUGGCGCAUAGCACAGUAACGGUCGGAUAUUUGAGGUUCAAAUUCCUUGGGGCUAUCAUGUUCCUCACUGUGUAGGCAAUUUGCACUGGCGAAUUCCUAACUCCUCAGUCAGAACAAAUUCCCCAGAGACCAGAAGAUCUUCGUCUCUGUCACUGAAGAAAUUGACUGAACUAAUAUGAGAUUUCCAAUGGCUUCACUCGAAAGGAUUGGGUAGGUGUAGGAUUUUGAGAUGAGCAUCACUUGAAAAUCACUUUUCUUAGUAUUACCUCGACCCCCUUUAACAAUACGAUGUUUCCUAUGACUCAAAACAGAGAAAAAGAAACUACGAAAACACAAGUCUUCACGCUUCAUAAUCCUCGCAAGAAUAUCCAAGUCUUCAAGGUCACACCAAUUUCUUCACUUUCAAAAUCUUCAGGAGAACCAAAGUCUUCAACUGAAGACAUAGAUUUUUGGGGGUCGACUUUCAUCGUAAGUAUCGAACUCCUCAUCGACUUAUAGAGCCUGUGUACAUUCACAAACAUAUUAGGCCCUUAACCUAUAAGUCUUCAAUACACCAAAAUCACUAAGGGGCACUAGAUGCACUUACAGUGCGUUUUGCGAGUCACGAUCAUGCCUCCUCGGGAAUGAAACAAAACACGUUUUAUCUUUUUUUUUCGCGAAAGUCACGGUUUUGCUUUUGCGAGAGGCAUGAUUGUGAUUUCGUGAGAUGCACGGACGUGCCUCUUUCGGAAAGGGAAAAACCCCAUGUUCCCGGUUUGGUUUUUUUGUCCGCAUUUUUCAUAAAAAAAAGUUCCUCAAAACCUAUCAACAUGAGAUUUAGUUUUGAAGGUCUCGACGCAAGAAAUCCAACGGUGAAAGCGGUUCGAGAUUUGGACGCACGGUUUAAGAGAUAAAAUGUUUUGAAUAAACGGAUCUGCGAAAAAAGAAAAAACUCCUAGGUUGCGACAAGUGGUCCCAACCGGAGGAGGUUGGAGUGAUCUUUACAACAAGUACUCCUCAACUAGUGAUUUCGGUGUUCUGUCCUUUUCUUCUUCUCAUCGCCGUGGACUGGGCCUGGGUCGGGGCACAUUCUAUCCUUUUAGUUCAUCGCCGUGUGCUAGGGCAUGGAUGCAGGUCUUUUCCCUUGCUUAUUUUGGACCUUUUUUGCGUCCCUAAUUUUAACACCCGAGAGAACAGAGGAGAAGCGGUCACUUAGGAGGGUGUCUCUGACUUUGCCUUAGAAAAGUCUGAUGCUAGGCGUCAACGACUGAUGUUAGAUAAAACUUAGGCCCUGAUUGGAUUGUUGUUUUCCAGCGCUUUACACACGAUACACACCUCCAUCCGUCGUUUUCAUUCUUCGUUGAAAAUUACAUACAUCCGGUGAAAUACAUGUGUAGAAUAAAUACAGUUGUAAAAGGAUACACCGAUUCCAAGCAGGGCCUUAGUCGGUUGACCAGCCGUCCAAUGUGUUUUGAUCUGGAAGUGCCCAACCACCAGAUUAAGGCUAGCCAUAGUGGUGGUAUCAUAACCGGUAUCAUGCACUCAGAAAUAGCAAGUAUGCUGCUGGGGCAAAGAAUUAAAGAAGAUAGAGAGGGUUAGAGUAACAUAGGUAGAUACUGUAUCAUGUUAAUGAUGCUAAUUCGUGUCAUGCAUGACAAUAAAUAUGAUCAUCUAUGAUAUUACUCUAUGAUACUAUGCACUAUAAAGGUAGUAUCAUACACUAGUAUCAUAUGUAUGAUACUUGGUCUCGGGGCGUCACAUACUACCGGGUAUGUGUGGUGGGAAAGACGUAAACUGGUUCAUGAUGAAGCAAUACAAAGUGCAUCCCAGAUCUCUAUGGGGAUUCGUGACCUUACAACAAACUUUGCUAUUGGUUCAUCCCCAAGAGCGACGAUAAAAAAAGGGGGCUGAAAUCGUCCCACGGGUUUUUUUUGUAAAACUCAAUACUGAUACAUCCUUUGACCAUGAUCAACUUAGCGGCGCAGUCAGGGCGGUUUUUAAGAAUGAAAAAAGGGCAAAUUCAUUGCACGGGGAAUAGAAGGAUAGACUGGUGCGUGGAUGUCCUGACAGUUUAAGCUUUGGUCCUCAGGUUCGGUUUGUCUCUUGCACAAAGCCGGGGUGUAAUCAUCUUGUCAUUUACUCAGACAACCCGAAAGUCAUCGACACCAUAAAGAGCGAAGGAUGUUUUGCGGGCACGGCGGCUGCGGUUUUUUGGCGUCUAUUAUUAUUUUUGGUGUGAUUUUUCUAUUUCUAGAUGCAAACCUUAUAAUUGAGAAGCAAAUAACUAGCACAUGAGCUGGCUAGGUUGUUGGCUAAAUUUUCUCUUUUGAUUGGCUGGAGGAACCUCAUUGUAGAUGUAUCUAUUAUUUCUAUCCAACAAAGUUUCGGUUUAAGUGUUGAUGAUGGAAUUAAUCCACGAAUAAUGCUACACGUACAAAAGGACACAUGCUUUUACAUAAAUGUGGGUUUUGAUUGAAGAUUAAAGGGAAGAAGGUGCCCACCCUCAUAAAAAACAGGGGGAGGGAAGUUAGAUAGUUUAAAAAGAUCCUAGUCAGCGUGUAAAAGCAUGUAAACCUUUGUAUGUUUGGCAUUAUUGUUAAUGCACGGUCGCUGUGUCACACCGGCCGUAGAUUGAGAUCAAUGGUUAUCCGUGUUGGGUUUCGUAGUAAUUUCAAAAAAUUUCCUACGCACACGCAAGAUCAUGGUGAUGUAUAGCAAUGAGAGGGGAGAGUGUGAUCUACGUACCCUUGUAGACCGACUGCGGAAGCGUUAGCACAAUGCGGUUGAUGUAGUCGUACGUCUUCAUGAUCCGACCGAUCCAAGCACCGUUACUCCGGCACCUCCGAGUUCUUGGCACACGUUCAGCUCGAUGACGCUCCCCGGGCUCCGAUCCAGCAAAGCUUCGGGGAGGAGUUCCGUCAGCACGACGGCGUGGUGACACCGUCGCAGGGCUUCGCCUAAGCACCGCUACAAUAUUAUCGAGGAUUAUGGUGGAAGGGGGCACCGCGCACGGCUAAGAAUAUGAUCACGUGGAUCAACUUGUGUCUAGAGGUGCCCUCCUGCCCCCGUAUAUAAAGAAGCAAGGGAGGAGGAGGCCGGCCCUAGGAGGGGGCGCGCCAAGUGUGGAGUCCUACUAGGACUCCCUAGUCCUAGUAGGAUUCCACCUCCCAUAUGGAAUAGGAAAAGAGGAAGGGAAAAGGAGAAGGAAGGAAGGGGGCGCCCCCCUUCCCUAGUCCAAUUCGGACCAGACCAAGGGGAGGGGUGCGGCCACCCUUGAGGCCCUUUUUCUUCUUUCCCGUAUGACCCAAUAAGCCCCAAUACGUAUUCCCGUAACUCUCCGGUACUCCGAAAAAUACCCGAAUCACUCGGAUCCUUUCCGAUGUCCGAAUAUAGUCGUCCAAUAUAUCGAUCUUUACGUCUCGACCAUUUCGAGACUCCUCGUCAUGUCCCCGAUCUCAUCCGGGACUUCGAACUCCUUCGGUACAUCAAAACUCAUAAACUCAUAAUAUAACUGUCAUUAAAACCUUAAGCGUGCGGACCCUACGGGUUCGAGAACAAUGUAGACAUGACCGAGACACGUCUCCAGUCAAUAACCAAUAGCGGAACCUGGAUGCUCAUAUUGGCUACCACAUAUUCUACGAAGAUCUUUAUCGGUCAGACCGCAUAACAACAUACGUUGUUCCCUUUGUCAUCGGUAUGUUACUUGCCCGAGAUUCGAUCCUCGGUAUCUUAAUACAUAGUUCAAUCUCGUUACCGGCAAGUCUCUUUACUCGUUCCGUAAUACAUCAUCUCACAACUAACUCAUUAUUUGCAAUAUUUGCAAGGCUUAUGUGAUGUGCACUACCGAGAGGGCCCAAAGAUACCUCUCCGACAAUCAGAGUGACAAAUCCUAAUCUCGAAAUACGCCAACCCAACAUGUACCUUUGGAGACACCUGUAGAGCUCCUUUAUAAUCACCCAGUUACGUUGUGACGUUUGGUAGCACAUAAAGUGUUCCUCCGACAAACGGGAGUUGCAUAAUAUCAUAGUCAUAGGAACAUGUAUAAGUCAUGAAGAAAGCAAUAGCAACAUACUAAACGAUUGGGUGCUAAGCUAAUGGAAUGGGUCAUGUCAAUCACAUCAUUCUCCUAAUGAUGUGAUCCCGUUAUUCAAAUAACAACUCUUUUGUUUAUGGUUAGGAAACAUAACCAUCUUCGAUUAACGAGCUAGUCAAGUAGAGGCAUACUAGUGACACUCUGUUUGUCUAUGUAUUCACACAUGUAUUAUGUUUUCGGUUAAUACAAUUCUAGCAUGAAUAAUAAGCAUUUAUCAUGAUAUAAGGAAAUAAAUAAUAACUUUAGUAUUGCCUCUAGGGCAUAUUUACUUCAGUCUCCCACUUGCACUAGAGUCAAUAAUCUAGUUCACAUCGCCAUGUGAUUCAACACUAAGAGUUCAUAUCACCAUGUGAUUAACACCCAUAGUUCACAUCGUCAUGUGACCUAUACCCAAAGGGUUUACUAGAGUCAAUAAUCUAGUUCACAUCAUUUAUGUGAUUAACACCCAAAGAGUACUAAGGUGUGAUCAUGUUUUGCUUGUGAGAUAAUUUUAGUCAACGGGUCUGUCACAUACAGAUCCAUAAGUAUUUUGCGAAUUCUAUGUCUACAAUGCUCUGCACGGAGCUACUCUAGCUAAUUGCUCCCACUUUCAAUAUGUAUCUAGAUCGAGACUUAGAGUCAUCCAGAUCUGUGUCAAAACUUGCAUCGACGUAACUUUUUACGACGAACCUUUUGUCACCUCCAUAAUCGAGAAAUAUUUCCUUAUUCCACAAAGGAUAAUUUUGACCAAUGUCCAGUGAUCUACUCUUAGAUCACUAUUGUACUCCCUUGCUUAACACAGUGUAGGGUAUACAAUAGAUCUGGUACACAUCAUGGCAUACUUUAUAGAACCUAUGGCUGAGGCAUAGGGAAUGACUUUCAUUCUCUUUCUAUCUUCUGCCGUGGUCGGGCUUUGAGUCUUACUCAAUUUCAUACCUUGUAACACAGCCAAGAACUCUUUCUUUGACUGUUCCAUUUUUUAACUACUUCAAAAUAUUGUCAAGGUAUGUACUCAUUGAAAAAACUUAUCAAGCGUCUUGAUCUAUCUCUAUAGAUUUUGAUGCUUAAUAUGUAAGCAGCUUCAUCGAGGUCUUUCUUUGAAAAACUUCUUUAAAAACACUCCUUUAUGCUUUGUAGAAUAAUUCUACAUUAUUUUCGAUCAUCAACAAUAUAUCAUUCACAUAUACUUAUCAGAAAUGUUGUAGUGCUCCCACUCACUUUCUUGUAAAUACAGGCUUCACCGCAAGUCUGUAUAAAACUAUAUGCUUUGAUUUGAUCAUACUAUCAAAGCAUUUAUUCCAACUCCGAGAGGCUUGCACCAGUCCAUAAAUGGAUCGCUGGAGCUUGCACACUUUGUUAGCUCCUUUUGGAUCGACAAAACCUUCCGGCUGCAUCUUAUACAACUCUUCUUCCAGAAAUCCAUUCGGGAAUGCAGUUUUGACAUCCAUUUGCUGGAUUUCAUAAAAUGCGGCAAUUGCUAACAUGAUUCGGACAGACUUAAGCAUAGAUACGAGUGAGAAACUCUCAUCAUAGUCAACACCUUGAACUUGUCGAAAACAUUUUUGCGACAAUUCUAGCUUUGUAGAUAGUAACACUACUAUCAGCGUCCGUCUUCCUCUUGAAGAUCCAUUUAAUCUCAAUGGCUCGCCGAUCAUUGGGCAAGUCAAUCAAAGUCCAUACUUUGUUCUCAUACAUGGAUCUCAUCUCAGAUUUCAUGGCCUCAAGCCAUUUCGCGGAAUCUAGGCUCAUCAUCGCUUCCUCAUAGUUCGCAAGUUCGUCAUGGUCUAGUAACAUGACUUCCAGAAGAGGAUUACCGUACCACUUUGGUGCGGAUCUCAUUCUGGUUUACCUACGAGAUUCGGUAUUAAAUUGAUCUGAAGUUACAUGAUCAUCAUCAUUAGUCUUCCUCACUAAUUGGUGUAGUAGUCACAGGAACAGAUUUCUUGCGAUGAACUACUUUUCAAUAAGGGAGAAGGUACAAUUACCUUAUCAAGUUCUACUUUUCUCCCACUCACUUCUUUCAAGAGAAACUCCUUCUCUAGAAAGGAUCCAUUCUUAGCAACGAAUGUCUUGCCUUCGGAUCUGUGAUAGAAGGUGUACCCAAUAGUCUCCGAUUUGGGUUUGAGCUUAUCAGGAUGCAACUUUUUCAUAUAAGCAUCACAAUCCCAAACUUUAAGAAACGACAACUUUGGUUUCUUGCCAAACCACAGUUCAGAUUGUGUCGUCUCAACGGAGUUAGAUGGUGCCCUUUUAAACGUGAAUGCAACUGUCUUUAAUGCAUAACCCCAAAACGAUAGUGGUAGAUCGGUAAGAGACAUCAUAGAUCGCACCAUAUCUAAUAAAGUACGGUUAUGAUGUUCGGACACACCAUUAUGCUGUGGUGUUCCAGGUGGCGUGAGUAGUGAAACUAUUUCACAUUGUUUUAACUGAAGGCCAGACUCGUAACUCAAAUAUUUUACCUCUGCGAUCAUAUCGUAGAAACUUUUAUUUUCUUGUUACGAUGAUUCUCUACUUCACUCUGAAAUUCUUUGAACUUUUCAAAUAUUUCAGACUUGUGUUUCAUUAAGUAGAUAUACCCAUAUCUGCUCAAAUCAUCUGUGAAGGUCAGAAAAUAAUGAUACCCGCCACGAGCCUUAACACUCAUCGGAUCUCAUACAUCAGUAUGUAUUAUUUCCAAUAAGUCAGUUGCUCGCUCCAUAGUUCCGGAGAACGGCGUUUUAGUCAUCUUGCCCAUGAGGCAUGGUUCGCAAGCAUCAACUGAUUCAUAAUCAAGUGAUUCCAAAAACCCAUUAGCAUGGAGUUUCUUCAUGCGCUUUACACCAAUAUGACCUAAACGGCAGUGCCACAAAUAAGUUGCACUAUCAUUAUUAACUUUGCAUCUUUUGGUUUCAAUAUUAUGAUUAUGUGUAUCACUACGAUCGAGAUCCAACGAACUAUUUUCAUUGGGUGUGUAACCAUAUAAGGUUUUAUUCAUGUAAACAGAACAACAAUUUAUUCUCUUACUUAAAUGAAUAACCGUAUUACAAUAAACAUGAUCAAAUCAUAUUCAUGCUCAACGCAAACACCAAAUAACACUUAUUCAGGUUCAACACUAAUCCCGAAAGUAUAGGGGAGUGUGCGAUGAUGAUCAUAUCAAUCUUGGAACCACUUCCAACACACAUAGUCACUUCACCCUUAACUAGUCUCUGUUUAUUCUGCAACUCCCGUUUCGAGUUACUAAUCUUAGCAACUGAACUAGUAUCAAAUACUGAGGGGUUGCUAUAAACACUAGUAAAGUACACAUCAAUAACAUGUAUAUCAAAUAUACUUAUGUUCACUUUGCCAUCCUUCUUAUCUGCCAAUCACUUGGGGUAGUUCCGCUUCCAGUGACCAGUCCCUUUGCAGUAGAAACACUUAGUCUCAGGCUUAGGACCAGACUUGGAUUUUUUCACUUGAGCAGCAACUUGCUUGCCGUUCUUCUUAAAGUUCCCCUUCUUCCCUGUGCCCUUUUCUUGAAACUAGUGAUCUUGUCAACCAUCAACACUUGAUGUUUUUCUUGAUUUCUACCUUCGUUAAUUUCAGCAUCACGAAGAGCUUGGGAGUUGUUUCCGUUAUCCCUUGCAUAUUAUAGUUCAUCACGAAGUUCUACUAACUUGGUGAUGGUGACUAGAGAAUUCUGUCAAUCACUAUCUUAUCUGGAAGAUUAACUCCCACUUGAUUCAAGCGAUUGUAGUACCCAGACAAUCUGAGCACAUGCUCACUAGUUGAGCGAUUCUCCUCCAUCUUUUAGCUAUAGAACUUGUUGGAGACUUCAUAUCUCUCAACUCGGGUAUUUGCUUGAAAUAUUAACUUCAACUCCUGGAACAUCUCAUAUGGUCCAUGUUCAAAACGUCUUUGAAGUCCCGAUUCUAAGCCAUUUAAGUAUGGUGCACUAAACUAUCAAGUAGUCAUCAUAUUGAGCUAGCCAAACGUUCAUAACGUCUGCAUCUGCUCCUGCAAUAGGUCUGUCACCUAGCGGUGCAUCAAGGACAUAAUUCUUCUGUGCAGCAAUGAGGAUAAACCUCAGAUCACGGAUCCAAUCCGCAUCAUUGCUACUAACAUCUUUCAACACAAUUUUCUCUAGGAACAUAUCAAAAUAAACACAGGGAAGCAACAACGCGAGCUAUUGAUCUAUAACAUAAUUUGCAAAAUACUACCAGGACUAAGUUCAUGAUAAAUUUAAGUUCAAUCAAUCAUAUUACUUAAGAACUCCCACUUAGAUAGACAUCCCUCUAAUACUCUAAGUGAUUACGUGAUCCAAAUCAACUAAACCAUGUCCGAUCAUCACGUGAGAUGGAGUAGUUUCAUUGGUGAACAUCGCUAUGUUGAUCAUAUCUGCUAUAUGAUUCACGCUCGACCUUUUGGUCUCCGUGUUCCGAGGCCAUAUCUGUAUAUGCUUGGCUCGUCAAGUAUAACCUGAGUAUUCUGCGUGUGCAACUGUUUUGCACCCGUUGUAUUUGAACGUAGAUCCUAUCACACCCGAUCAUCACGUGGUGUCUCAGCACGAAGAACUUUCGCAACGGUGCAUACUCAGGGAGAACACUUCUUGAUAAUUAGUGAGAGAUCAUCUUAUAAUGCUACCGUCAAUCAAAGCAAGAUAAGAUGCAUAAAAGAUAAACAUCACAUGCAAUCAAUAUAAGUGAUAUGAUAUGGCCAUCAUCAUCUUGUGCUUGUGAUCUCCAUCUUCGAAGCACCGUCAUGAUCACCAUCGUCACCGGCGCGACACCUUGAUCUCCAUCGUAGCAUCGUUGCCGUCUCGCCAAUCUUAUGCUUCCACGACUAUCGCUACCGCUUAGUGAUAAAGUAAAGCAUUACAGCGCGAUUACAUUGCAUACAAUAAAGCGACAACCAUAUGGCUCCUGCCAGUUGCCGAUAACUCGGUUACAAAACAUGAUCAUCUCAUACAAUUAAAUUUAGCAUCAUGUCUUGACCAUAUCACAUCACAACAUGCCCUGCAAAAACAAGUUAGACGUCUUCUACUUUGUUGUUGCAAGUUUUACGCGGCUGCUACGGGCUUAAGCAAGAACCAAUGUUACCUACGCAUCAAAACCACAACGAUAGUUUGUCAAGUUGGUGCUGUUUUAACCUUCGCAAGGACCGGGCGUAGCCACACUCGGUUCAACUAAAGUUGGAGAAACUGUCACCCGCUGGCCACCUUUGUGCAAAGCACGUCGGGAGAACCGAUCUCGCGUAAGCGUACGCGUAAUGUUGGUCCGGGCCGCUUCGUCCAACAAUACCGCCGAACCAAAGUAUGACAUGCUGGUAAGCAAUAUGACUUAUAUCGCCCACAACUCACUUGUGUUCUACUUGUGCAUAUAACAUCAACAUAUAAAACCUAGGCUCUGAUACCAUUAUCGGGUUUCGUAGUAAUUUCAAAAAAAUUCCUACGCACACGCAAGAUCAUGGUGAUGCAUAGCAACGAGAGGGGAGAGUGUGAUCUACGUACCCUUGUAGACCGACUACGGAAGCGUUAGCACAACGCGGUUGAUGUAGUCGUACGUCUUCACGAUCCGACUGAUCUAAGCACCGUUACUCCGGCACCUCCGAGUUCUUGGCACACGAUCAGCUCGAUGACGCUCCCCGGGCUCCGAUCCAGCAAAGCUUCGGGGAGGAGUUCCGUCAGCACGACGGCGUGGUGACAAUCUUGAUGUUCUACCGUCGCAGGGCUUCGCCUAAGCACCGCUACAAUAUUAUCGAGGAUUAUGGUGGAAGGGGGCACCGCACACGGCUAAGAAUAUGAUCACGUGGAUCAACUUGUGUCUAGAGGUGCCCCCUGUCCCCGUAUAUAAAGGAGCAAGGGAGGAGGAGGCCGGCCCUAGGAGGGGGCGCGCCAAGUGUGGAGUCCUACUAGGACUCCCUAGUCCUAGUAGGAUUCCACCUCCCAUAUGGAAUAGGAAAAGAGGAAGGGAAAAGGAGAAGGAAGGAAGGGGGCGCCCCCCUUCCCUAGUCCAAUUCGGACCAGACCAAGGGGAGGGGUGCGGCCACCCUUGAGGCCCUUUUUCUUCUUUCCCGUAUGGCCCAAUAAGGCCCAAUACGUAUUCCCGUAACUCUCUGGUACUCCGAAAAAUACCCGAAUCACUCAAAACCUUUCCGAUGUCCGAAUAUAGUCGUCCAAUAUAUCGAUCUUUACGUCUCGACCAUUUCGAGACUCCUCGUCAUGUCCCCGAUCUCAUCCGGGACUUCGAACUCCUUCGGUACAUCAAAACUCAUAAACUCAUAAUAUAACUGUCAUUGAAACCUUAAGCGUGCGGACCCUACGGGUUCGAGAACAAUGUAGACAUGACCGAGACACGUCUCCAGUAAAUAACCAAUAGCGGAACCUGGAUGCUCAUAUUGGCUCCCACAUAUUCUACGAAGAUCUUUAUCGGUCAGACCGCAUAACAACAUACGUUGUUCCCUUUGUCAUCGGUAUAUUACUUGCCCGAGAUUCGAUCGUCGGUAUCUUAAUACCUAGUUCAAUCUCGAUGCGCGGCCCCUCCCGGACCCUCCAGUAUCGAGUUGUAAUCAUUGAGUUGUAAAUAAAUAGAAGUGUGAUGAUCAUCAUUCAAUAGAGCAUUGUCCCAAUAAAAAAAGAAAGGCCAAAAAAAGAAAGCCCAAAAAAAUAAAAAAAAUAAAGGGGCAAUGCUACUAUCCUUUUUUCCACACUUGUGCUUCAAAGUAGCACCAUGAUAUAGUAAGUCUCAUAUAUUGUGCUUCAAAGUAGCACCAUGUUCUAUAUAGAAAGUCUCAUAUGUUGUCACUUUCAUAUACUAGUGGGAAUUUUAUGUUAUAGAACUUGGCUUGCAUAUUCCAAUGAUGAGCUUCCUCAAAUUGCCCUAGGUCUUCGUGAGCAAGCAAGUUGGAUACACAUCCACUAGUUUCUUUUGUUGAGCUUUCAUACAUUUAUAGCUCUAGUGCAUCCGUUGCAUGGCAAUCUCUACUCACUCACAUUGAUAUCUAUUGAUGGGCAUCUCCAUAGCCCGUUGAUAUGCCUAGUCGAUGUGAGACUAUCUUCUCCUUUUUGUCUUCUCCACAACCACCAUUCUAUUCCACCUAUAGUGCUAUAUCCAUGGCUCACGCUCAUGUAUUGCGUGAAGAUUGAAAAAGUUUUGAAAAAGUUAGAGUAUGAAACAAUUGCUUGGCUUGUCAUCGGGAUUGUGCAUGAUUUAAAUACUUUGUGUGGGGAAAAUGGAGCAUAGCCAGACUAUAUGAUUUUGUAGGGAUAACUUUCUUUGGCCAUGUUAUUUUGAGAAGACAUAAUUGCUUUGUUAGUAUGCUUGAAGUAUUAUUAUUUUCUAUGUCAAUAUAAACUUUUGUCUUGAAUAUUUCUAAUCUAAAUAUUCAUACCACAAUUAAGAAGAUUUGCAUUGAAAUUAUGCCAAGUAGCACUCCGCACCAAAAAUUCUCUUUUUAUCAUUUACCUACUCGAGGACGAGCAGGAAUUAAGCUUGGGGAUGCCUGAUACGUCUCCAACGUAUCUAUAAUUUUUGAUUGCUCCAUGCUAUAUUAUCUACUGUUUUGGACUAUAUUGGGCUUUAUUUUCCACUUUUAUAUUAUUUUUGGGACUAACCUAUUAACCGGAGGCCCAACCCAGAAUUCCUGUUUUUUGCCUAUUUCAGUGUUUCAGUUAAGCGGAAUAUCAAACGGAGUCCAAACGGAAUAAAAUCUUCGGGAACGUGAUUUUCUCACCGAAUGUGAUCCAGGAAACUUGGACCCUACUGCAAGGGAUCAAAGAGGUGGUCAUGAAGGUGGGGGCGCCCCCCCUAGGGCGUGCCCCCCUGCCUCGUGGGCCCCUCGGUGCUCCACCGACGUACUCCUUCCUCCUAUAUAUACACACGUACCCCCAAACGAUCAGAAUAGGAGCAAAAAACCUAAUUCCACCGCCACAACUUUCUGUAUCCACGAGAUCCCAUCUUGGGGCUUAUUCCGGAGCUCCGCCGGAAGAGGGCCGUCAUCACGGAGGGCUUCUACAUCAUCAUAGCCUCUCCGAUGAAGUGUGAUUAGUUUACCUCAGACCUUCGGGUCCAUAGUUAGUAGCUAGAUGGCUUCUUCUCUCUCUUUGAAUCUCAAUACAAAGUUCUCCCCCUCUCUUGUGGAGAUCUAUUCGAUGUAAUCUUCUUUUUGUGGUGUGUUUGUUGAGACCGAUGAAUUGUGGGUUUAUGAUCAAGUCUAUCUAUGCAUGAUUGGUUAUCUUUGCAAGUCUCUUCGAAUUAUCCGGUUGGUUUGGCCAACUAGAUUGGUAGUUCUUGCCAUGGGAGAAGUGUUUAGCUUUGGGUUCGAUCUUGCGAUGUCCUUACCCAGUGACAGAAGGGGCAGCAAGGCACGUAUUGUAUCGUUGCCAUCGAGGAUAACAAGAUGGGGUUUAUUUCAUAUUGCAUGAAUUUAUCUCUCUACAUCAUGUCAUCUUGCUUAAGGCGUUACUCUAUUUUUAACUUAAUACUUUAGAUGCAUGCUGGAUAGCGGUCGAUGAGUGGAGUAAUAGUAGUAGAUGCAGAAUCGUUUUGAUCUACUUGUCACGGACGUGAUGCCUAUAUACAUGAUCAUGCCUAGAUAUUCUCAUAAUUAUGCUCAAUUCUAUCAAUUGCUCAACAGUAAUUUGUUCACCCACCGUAGAAUACUUAUGCUCUUGAGAGAAGCCACUAGUGAAACCUAUGACCCCCGGGUCUAUUCUCAUCAUAUCAAUCUCCAUAACUUUUAUAUUGUUUUUCUAUUUACUUUGCUUUUACUUUUUACUUUGCAUCUUUAUAUAAAAAAUACCAAAAAUAUUCUAUCUAUCAGAUCUCACUCUCGUAAGUGACCGUGAAGGGCUUGACAACCCCUAAUCGCGUUGGUUGCGAGUAGCUAUCGCUUUGUGAAGGUACGAGGGACUUGAGCGUGGGCUCCUACUGGAUUGAUACCUUGGUUCUCAAAAACUGAGGGAAAUACUUAUGCUACUCUGCUGCAUCAUCCCUUCCUCUUCGAGGAAAACCAACGCAAGCUCAAGACGUAGCAGCGCUCCGGCGCCACCGGAAGCAAGGGGAGAGAGGCCCCCUUCUUCUUAUUCUUCCUUGACCUCCUCCCUAGAUGGGAGAAGGGUUUACCCUCUGGUCCUUGGCUCCCAUGGCGUGGGAGGGGCGAGAGCCCCUCAGAGGUUGGAUCUAUCUCUCUGUUUCUGCGUUCUCAGAUCCUUCCCCUUCACCGUUUCUUUUAUAUCUGGAGAUCCGUAACUCCGAUUGGGGUGAGUCUUUCGCCCAGAUUUUUCUCAUAAAAUUAGCUUUCUUGCGGCAAAAGAAGAGCGUCAACCGCCUUACGGGUGGCCCACAAGAGUGCCAGGCGCUCCCCCCUGUCUCGUGGCCACCUCAGACACUGUUUCGCGUUGAUUCUUCCUCCGGAAAAUCCCAAAUAUCCCAAAAUAAUUCUUCGUCUGUUUUUAUCCCGUUUGGAUUCCGUUUGAUAUUGGGUUUCUAUGAAACAUAAAACAUGCAACAAACAGGAACUGGCACUAGGCACUGGAUCAAUAUGUUAGUCCCAAAAAAUAGUAUAAAAAGUUGUCAAAAGUAUAUGAAAGUUGAAUAAUAUUGGCAUGGAACAAUCAAAAAUUAUAGAUAGGACGAAGACGUAUCAACAUCCCCAAGCUUAAUUCCUGCUCGUCCUCGAGUAGGUAAAUGAUAAAAAAAGAUAAUUUUUGAUUUGGAAUGCUACCUAGCAUAAUCUUGAUCAUAUGUCUAAUCAUGGCAUGAAUAUUAAGACACGGGUGAUUCAAGGCAAUAGUCUAUCAUUUGACAUAAAAACAAUAAUACUUCAAGCAUACCAACCAAGCAAUUAUGUCUUAUCGAAAUAACAUAGCCAAAGAAAGCUCAUUCCUACAAAAUCAUAUAGUCUGGCUAUGCUCCAUCUUCAUUACACAAAAUACUCCCAUCAUGCACAACCCCGGUUUCAGCCAAGCAAUUGGUUCAUACUUUUUAACCCGCUUCAGCUUUUUCAACCCUCAUGCAAUACAUGAGGGCAAGCCAUGGAUAUAGCACUAUAGGUGGAAUAGAAUAUGAUGGUGAAGGUUUAUGUGGAGAAGACAAAAAGGUCACAUCGACACGGCUAAUCAACGGGCUAUGGAGAUGCCCACCAAUUGAUGUCAAUGCGAGGAGUAGGGAUUGCCAUGCAACAGAUGCACUAGAGCUAUAAGUGUAUGAAAGCUCAAACUGAAAACUAAGUGGGUGUGCAUCCAACUUGCUUGCUCAUAAAGACCUUGCGCGUUUGAGGAAGCCCAUCAUCGGAAUAUACAAGCCAAGUUCUAUAAUGAAAAUUCUCACUAGUAUAUGAAAAGUGAAAACUCAAGAGACUCUCUAUAUGAAGAACAUGGUGCUAUUUUGAAACACAAGUGUGGUAAAAGGAUAGUAACAUUGCCCCUCCUCUCUUUUUCCCUCAUUUUCUCUUUUUUUUUCUUUUUUUCUUUUUGGUGGGCUUCUUUGGCCUCUUUUUUUUAUUUGGGCUUCUUUGGCCUCUUUUAUUUUUCAUAAAGUCCGGAGUCUCAUCCCGACUUGUGGAGGAAUCAUAGUCUCCUUCAUCCUUUCCUCACUGGGGCAAUGCUCUAAUAAUGAUGAUCAUCACACUUUUAUUUACUUACAACUCAAUAUUACAAUUCGAUAUCUCGAACAAAGAUAUGACUUUAUGUGAAUGCUCCAGCGGUGUACCGGGAUGUGCAAUGAUCUAGCAUAGCAAUGCCAUCAAAAAACGGACAAGCCAUGAAAACAUCAUGCUAGCUAUCUUACGAUCAUGCAAAGCAAUAUGACAAUGAAUGCUCAAGUCAUGAAUAUGAUGAUGAUGGAAGUUGCAUGGCAAUAUAUCUCGGAAUGGCUAUGGAAAUGCCAUAAUAGGUAGGUAUGGUGGCUGUUUUGAGGAAGAUAUAAGGAGGCUUAUGUGUGAUAGAGCGUAUCAUAUCACGGGGUUUGGAUGCACCGGCGAAGUUUGCACCAACUCUCGAGGUGAGAAAGGGUAAUGCAUGGUACCGUAGAGGCUAGCAAAUUGCGAAAAGGCAAGAGUGCGUAUAAUCCAUGGACUCACAUUAGUCAUAAAGAACUCAUAUACUUAUUGCAAAAGUCUACUUGCCCUCGAAGCAAAGUACUACUACGCAUGCUCCUAGGGGAAGGGUUGGUAGGAGUUAACCAUCGCGCGAUCCCGACCUCCACUCACAAGGAAAGCAAUCAAAGAGCACCUCAUGCUCCAACUUCGUUACAUAACGGUUCACCAUACGUGCAUGCUACAGGACUUGCAAACCUCAACACAAGUAUUUCUCAAUUUCACAAUUACUCAACUAGCACGACUCUAAUAUCACCACCUUUAUAUCGCAAAACUAUUGCAAGGAAUCAAACAUAUCAUAUUUAGUGAUCUACAAGUUUAUGUAAGAUUUUAUGACUAACCAUGUGAAUGACCAAUUCCUGUCAUCUCUCUAAAUUGAUAUAAGUGAAGCAAGAGAGUUUAAUUCUUUCUACAAAAGAUAUUCCCAUGCUCUAACAAAUAUAAGUGAAGCAAAAGAGCAUUCUACAAAUGGCGGUUUUCUAAGUGAAGAGAAACAGGCAAUCCAACCUUCAAAUGAUAUAAGUGAAGCACAUGAAGCAUUCUAUAUAGCCAUACUCAAAAGAUUUAAGUGAAGUGCAAUGAGCAUUCUAUAAAUCAACCAAGGACUAUCUCAUACCAGCAUGGUGCAUAAAAGAAAAGUGAAAACUAAAUGCAAAAUACGCUCCAAGACUUGCACAUAAUGCAUGAACGAAACGAAUCCGAAAACAUACCGAUACUUGUUGAAGAAAGAGGGGAUGCCUUCCGGGGCAUCCCCAAGAUUAGACGCUUGAUUCUCCUUGAAUAUUUACUUGGGGUGCCUCGGGCAUCCCCAAGCUUGAGCUCUUGCCUCUCUUCCUUUUCCUCAUAUCGAGACCUCCUCGAUUAGACACUUCAUCCACACAAAACUUCAACAGAAAACUCGGUAAGAUCUGUUAGUAUAAUAAAGCAAAUCACCACUCUAAGUACUUUUGCAAACCAAUUCAUAUUUUGUUUUUGCAUUGUAUCUACUGUAAUAUAGCUUUUACAUGGCUUAAUCCACUGAUAUAAAUUGAUAGCUUCAUCAAAAUAAGCAAAUUAUGCAUCAAAAACAGAAUCUGUCAAAAACAGAACAGUCUGUAGAAAUCUGAACAUCCACCAUACUUACGGUACCCCAAAAAUUCUACCAAAAUUAGGAAAAAUAAAUAAGUUGUAUAGAAAGACAUUUCAAAAGGAAUCAUAAUCAAUUGAUGUUCCAGUUAAAAAUGUAAAAUCACGCACUACAGCCAAAGUUUUUGUCCUGCACCGUACAAACCAACAAGCAAUGUAAACAUCCUAAAGGCAAACCUUGGCACAUUAUUUUUAUAAUACAAUGGAAUUGUACAAGGGGAUAAUUAUUUUUGAUGAAAAGUUUCUGUAAUCAAGAUUCACAAAGUUUCCGUGAGCAUGAACAAAGUUCAAGGCUAGCUCCCACUUCAACAAUGCUUGUCUUUUUCACUUUCACUUUCCUUUUUGAAAAGUUUUAGGGUUCCCCUCUUUAUUUUUUUGUUUUUAAACUAUAUAAAAGCACUCAACAGAAAUAAAUGACUCUCUAAAACUUCCGGGUUGUCUCCCUGGCAGCGCUUUCUUUAAAGCCAUUAAGCUAGGCAUUUAGUGCUCAAGUAAUGAAUCCACCCGGAUCCCAAGGUAUAUCAAAGCCAAUUUUAAUUAACAAUGAAUUGUAAUUUAGUAGUGAUCACAAAGUAACAUAUAUCAAGCAACAACGAAGUCUAACUCUCUUUCUAUGCAUCGGCAUGUCAUAAAAGAACAAUUCAUGCACACAUAGUAAAGGCCAAUGCAUAGUAUAAACAGAUUCUUGCAAUUCUAUCAUAUUGGAAACAUAGAGAGGUGGAGAUAUAGUUCCUCUCUCAUAAUAAUUGCAAGUAGGAGCAGCAAGCACAUGCAUAUUAUAUCUAUCAAAAUUAUCAUGUGCAACGGUAAAAGGCAACCCAUCAAUAUAAUCCUUACUAAGCGCAAACUUCUCCGAUAUAGUGUAGUAGGGAGAAUUCAAAAAGAUAAUAAGACUAUCAUGCAUGGGUGCAAUAGCAACAAUUUCAUGUUUAACAUAAGGAACUAUAGAAAGUUCAUCUCCAUAAGCAUAAUUCAUAUUGGCAUCUUGGCCACAAGCAUAGCAAGCAUCAUCAAAAAGGGAUAUUUCAAACAAAUUCAAGGGAUCAUAGCAAUCAUCCUUCGGUAAGCACGAAGGGGAAUUAAAAAAUGUAUGAGUUGAAGAGUUACUCUCAUUAGAAGGUGGGCACGGGUGAUCAAUCCGCUCUUCCUCCUUUUGUUCUUCGCUCUCCUCAUCAUCUUUUUCAUCCAAUGAGCUCAUAGUUUUAUCAAUUUCUUCUUCCAUAGCUUCCUGCAAAAUAUUAGUCCCUUCUUGGACAGCGGAGACUUUCUCAAUAAAUGCAUUAAUAUUGUAAUUGUAUUCAUAAUUUUCAUAGAAAUAUCUAAGUAUAGCAAGAUUUGCAGGCCUAUAAACAUCAUCAUCAAAAGCUUCAUACUUUUCAAACAAAGAUUAAAUUUCAUAAGCAGCCUUAAAAGCAAUAAAUUCUUCAAUUUGUUCAACAUCAUAGUAAUCAUAUAUACCAUUAGCAUAAGAAGCUAAGGUUUCGUUAUCAUUAAAUUUGCAUGAAAAGGGAAGGUGUGGAGCCUUCAUCCUAGAGCAACAAGUAAUAUCAUAUCUCAAGCAUAGAUCCCGAGCAUACCAACACAACAUAUUAAUUUGAUCCUAUAAUAGUUUCCCUUUUGUGUAAAGCGAUAAUCCCUAAAGUUUUCGCGUUGAUCCAACGUGUCUCCCAUUAUAAAGUUGGGGUUUUCUCAGGAUUACCAAAGUAGUACAUAAUAUCUUUCACAUAAUGAGAAUCGAGGGUUUUAAGAGUUACCCCAUCUCCAUGAGUAGCAAGUACACCUAAUUUUUUUGGUAUUUCGUGUUCCAUAUCCAUAACUGAAGAUAGAGAACAACAUAGAACAGCAAAUAAAAAUUACUUAGUGAUAAAGCAAACAAGCACACACGAGAAUAUUCACCCCACGCUAUGACUCCCUGGCAACGGCGCCAGAAAAAGGUCUUGAUAACCCGCAAGUAUACGGGAUAGUUGUAGCCUCUUUCGAUAAGUAAGAGUGUCGAACCCAACGAGGAGCUAAAGGUAGAACAAAUACUCUCUCAAGUCCUAUCGGCCACUGAUACGACUCUACGCACGCUUGACGUUCGCUUUACCUAGAACAAGUAUGAAACUAGAAGUACUUUGUAGGUCUUGUUGGAUAGGUUUGCAAGAUAAUAAAGAACACGUAAAUAUAAACUAGGGGCUGUUUAGAUAAAGAUGCAAAAAAAGCGAGUGUGGAAAAGUGGUGGUAGGAGUUGUGAAAGUGUCCCUAAGCAAUUGACUACGUUACUAGAUCGAUAGCAAGUUUUAUGUGGGAGAGGCAUAAGCUAACAUACUUCCUCUUCUUGGAUCAUAUGCACUUAUGAUUGGAAAUCUAGCAAGCGUCCGCAACUACUAAAGAUUCAUUAAGGUAAAACUCAACCAUAUCAUUAAGAUAUAUUGGUCUCCCUUUAAUCCCAUACACAACAAUCCCCUUACUCGGGUUUAAGCUUCUGUCACUCUAGCAACCCACUAUAAGCGAAUCAUGAACGUAUUGCAACACCCGACAGCGGGAAUCCCUCACACUUGCGCGACACGGAGGGCACAAUAGGACAGCAACAUAACCACAAGCAAAUUAAACAAAUCAUAGCAAUUCAUCAACCACCAAUAGGACAAUGAAAAUCUACUUAGACAUCAUAGGAUGGCAACACAUUAUUGGAUAAUAAUAUGAAGCAUAAAGCACCAUGCUCAAGUAGAGGGUACAACGGGUUGCGGGAGAGUGGACCGCUGAAUAUAGAUGGGGGAAGGUGAUGGAGAUGUUGGUGAAGAUGGUGGAGGUGUUGGUGAAGAUCGCGGUGAUGAUGAUGGCCCCCGGCAGCGCUCCGGCGCCACCGGAAGCAAGGGGGAGAGAGGCCCCCUUCUUCUUCUUCUUCCUUGACCUCCUCCCUAGAUGGGAGAAGGGUUUCCCCUCUGGUCCUUGGCUCCCAUGGCGUGGGAGGGGCGAGAGCCCCUCCGAGAUUGGAUCCAUCUCUCUGUUUCUGCAUUCUCAGAUCCUUCCCCUUCACCGUUUUUUAUAUCCGGAGAUCCGUAACUCCGAUUGGGGUGAAUCUUUCGCCCAGAUUUUUCUCAUAAAAUUAGCUUUCUUGCGGCAAAAGAAGAGCGUCAACCGCCUUAAGGGUGGCCCACGAGAGUGCCAGGCGCGCCCAGGAGGGGUGGGCGCGCCCCCCUGUCUCGUGGCCACCUCGGACACUAUUUCGCGUUGAUUCUUCCUCCGGAAAAUCCCAAAUAUUCCAAAAUAAUUCUCCGUCCGUUUUUAUCCCGUUUGGAUUCCGUUUGAUAUUGGGCUUCUGCGAAACAUAAAACAUGCAACAAAGAGGAACUGGCACUGGGCACUGAAUCAAUACGUUAGUCCCAAAAAAUAGUAUAAAAAGUUGCCAAAAGUAUAUGAAAGUUGAAUAAUAUUGGCAUGGAACAAUCAAAAAUUAUAGAUACGACAGAUACGUAUCAAUCAUGCGUGUCGCCAAAGGACAAGAUGGAGGGGGGAUUGUCAUCGCCGUGACCGCCUCAUCAAAUUGGAGAGAAGUGAAAACAUUGAGGAGGGUGUUCGUACCUUCGGUCAUAGUAGAAGAGGGGGGCGGUCAUCGGAUAAGGAACCAGAGAGGAAGGGGAGCCACCAAAGCACGAGAUGGCGGGAGAGGGGGAGGGAAGGAGGGAAGAUUGGCAUCAUCGUUACCGCUUCAUUGAAUGUGAGGAGAGGUAAAAACAUUCAGACAAGUGUUUGUACGUUUAGUCAUAGUAGAAGAGGGGGCGAUCACCGGAUAUGGAACCGGGGAGGAAGGGGAACUCCCAGAGCACGAGAUGGCGGGGGAGGGGGAUCAAAGGAGGGAAGAUUGUCAUCGCCGUUACUGCCUCGUUGAAUGUGAGGAGAAGUAAAAACAUUGAGACGGGUGUUCGUAUGUUCGGUCAUAGUAGAAGAGGGGGCGAUCACCGGAUAAGGAACCAGAAAGGAAGGGGGAGCCACCGAAGAGCAUGGCUCCAAGCUAAAGAGGAUGGCGGUAAUUCAAGUGGCACGUGGAAUAAAUUGUGGAGUGGGGAUAUCACCGAUGUAACAUUACAAAUGGGUGCUGGACCCAUCAUAGAUGUGUGGUGUUAAAGUUUGUAUGUGAUAGGCCUGUGGUAGAAAUCCGUCUCCGAUGUGUGACCAACGUUGACGGAUAACCCGGUCGACGAAGUCUCCUUUGAUGGGUUCUAAGAUAUCAACAUGUCUACAAUGGCCUAGUCAAUUCCAUAAAAAUUAACCCUAACCAGCAUGCCUCCCUUUCAUUUCCAAUCAGAGUCCCCACCACCUCAAUCAAUGUGUCUAGAUCGUACCUACUUCGCCAAAAAAACAAGAACUGGGAGAGGAUUGCUCCCUCAUCGACAUCCCUCCGAUGGAGGAGAGAUGGUGUCAUUAGGCGGUGUCAAACAUUCAGUCGUAGAAAGAAGGGGGCACCAGAUAAAGAGCUCGAGAGGAAGAGGAGCCACAUAGAGCAUGGCACCGAACUCUUUGGGAUGGAAAAAAUGCAAGUGUCAAAUGCCAAGUGCAAAACAGUCAUUCAUGAGAUGACGAGAACACUAUAUUAUUUAAUAACAACAGAACCAUGUUUGGUUGGAGCUAUUUAGACAAGGGGAAUGUAGUUUUAAGGGUUCUAAGAUAUAAAGUGACCUAUUUCAUUGGAGGCGAUGAGAAUUAGGGGGGUUGGACUUGGGAGUUAAUUAGAGUCUAACUUUCCACGUAGAUAUAUGUAAGUUGACUUAAUUUAUAGUUUGGGUAAGUCCAUUUUGUGUGAAAAGGAAUGGUUGAGGAGGAAGAAGAAAGAAGGUUGACCAUUGGAUCUUUAAUCUGAUGACCAGGAAAAUUGACCUAACCGAAAUAAUUUUUCAAGCGACUUACAUAAGCCUCUUCCCUAACUUUCACCAUCUUAUUAGAGAAGGGAGUGGGUGGAAAUUGGGAGGGAACUGAUAAACAUAGAACAUCUUAAAUCCUCGCUUGAAACACCACGUCUGCAUGCUUGUUUAAAUUCUUGAAGUAUUCAAGUUGGUGGUAAUUUUUCAGGUUUAAAUCCUCACUUUUCUUAUGAAUACUUUAGAAUAUUUUCCUUGGGGUGCUCGGACAAUUGGAUUAUUAUGUUCAUUGCCAAAUGUAACCAAUUAUUGGAGUAGUUAAACGGAACUUGAGCAAAUGUUACUAUGAUUUUUUAUGUGGUUAUCAGCUUAUUAGGAUCAUUUGUCUUGUUGCUAUAAUACCGAAGCGAGUUUAAAUGAACUGUAGAGUGGGACAUCACUAACAUGGAACCAUAAUAGAUGGGCAGUGUUAAAGUUCGUCUAAGGCUUCGUUCGAAAGUUCUCUGUUACGUCCAUUUUGCAUCAUAUUUUUAUAUUCAUAUUUAUUGCAGCAUGGCCUGUUAUUACACUUUAAGAUACAAUUAUUAUGCCUUUUCUCUCUUAUUUACAAGGUUUACAUGAAGAGGGAGAAUGCUGGCAGCUGGAAUUCUGGACCUAAAAGGAGCAGAUCUGAGAUACCUAUUCUGCACAACUCCAAAUAUCCUGAAACUUUACAGAGAAUUGUUUUGGAAUAUAUAAAAAAAUAUUGGGCGAAGAAACAACAGAAGAGGACCCACCAGGUGGCCACANNNNNNNNNNNNNNNNNNNNNNNNNNNNNNNNNNNNNNNNNNNNNNNNNNNNNNNNNNNNNNNNNNNNNNNNNNNNNNNNNNNNNNNNNNNNNNNNNNNNNNNNNNNNNNNNNNNNNNNNNNNNNNNNNNNNNNCUGGUGUCCAUCUUCUGCUAUAUGAAAGGUUUUGACCUAGAAAAAAUCAUAAGGAAGAUUUCGGGACGAAGCCCGCCGUCUCGAGGCGGAACCUGGGCAUAAGCAAUCUAGGACUCUACCAGAGCGAUUCUGCAGGGAAACUUCCCUCUGGGAGGGGGAAUCGAAGCCAUCGUCAUUACCGACGAUCCUAUCAUCGUGAGAGGGUCAAUCUUCAUCAACAUCUUCACCAGCACCAUCUCCUCUCAAAUCUUAGUUCAUCUCUUGUAUUCAAUCUUUUCCUCAGAACCUCAAAUUGUUACCUGUGGGUUGCUAGUAGUGUUGAUUACUCUUUGUAGUUGAUGCUAGUUGGUUUAUUUGGUGUAAAAUCAUAUGUUUAGAUCCUUAAUGAUAUUCAAUACCCCUCUGAUCUUUAACAUGAGCAUGCUUUGUGAGUAGUUACGUUUGUUCCCGAGGACAUGGGAGAAGUCUUGUUAUAAGUAAACAUGUGAAUUUGGUAUUCGUUCCAUAUUUUGAUGAGAUGUAUGUUGUAUUUUCUCUAGUGGUGUUAUGUGAACGUCAACUACAUGACACUUCACCAUGAUUUGGGCCUAGGAAAAGGCGGGAAGUAGCAAGUAGACGAUGGGUUGCUAGAGUGGCAGAAGAUUAAACCCUAGUUUAUGUGUUGCUUCGUAAGGGGCUGAUUUGGAUCCACAUGUCUUAUGCUAUGGUUAGAUAUAUCUUGGUUCUUCUUUCGUAGUUGCGGAUACUUGCGAGAGGGGUUAAUUAAAAGUGAGAGGCUUGUUCAAGUAAGGACAGCACGCAAGCGCCGGCCCACCCACAUAUCAAAUUAUCAAAGUAAUGAACGCGAAUCAUAUCAGCAUGAUGAAAACUAAGUUGAUGAUAAUUCCCAUGUAUCCUCGGAAGCGCUUUGCUUUAUAUAAGAAUUUGUCAAGGCUUAUCCUUUGCUACAAAAAGGAUUGGGCCAUCUUACUGCACCUUUGUUACACUUGUUACUUGUUACUCGUUGUGAAUUACCUUGCCACCAAACUAUCCUGUUACCGAUAUUUUCAGUGCUUGCAGAGAAUACCUUACUGAAAACCGCUAGUCAUUUCCUUCUACUCCUCGUUGGGUUCGACACUCUUACUUAUCGAAAGGCUACAAUUGAUCCCUAUACUUGUGGGUCAUCAUUCUCUGGCAACUUUAGGCCCCAUUCCGAAGUUCUCUGGCUUCCCAAACUGGCCAGCCAGCCAAGCCAGCUUCGCACGGGAGUGGUGAAGCGUUCGGCAACGACUGCUUCUGCUCCGUCGGCAUGGGCCAUAGAGGAGAGGCACGGGCUAGUCUGACACUGGGGUCGUGAGGUCACUGGUUUGCUCAGGAGUGUCUUCUCUAAUUGAAAUGGUACGCAAGUCACUUUGGAAUGGCAUUCUUGUGUAAAUUCAUUCAACUCAUUCUUCGUCGUUUGGAGGAGCUACGCUUCCGCUGCUCCACGAAAUUGUGUUGCGGGAGGGCUAUGCUUCCUAAAGCUGGCUUCGCGGACCUGGGCUGUUUGGCAUCGCUCUUGUUGACGUAUAAAUGUAUUGUCUAGUCUAUUUUAUCAGAUCGGUUUUUUAGUUGCAUUGGCUAGAGCAUGCAUUUCUACAGCUCUACGCAUGGAGCUGGAGAGAAACCGAGCAGGCCAUAAGUUGACUAGAGGAUGGCAAGUUAGGGGCAAGCUGCUGAAGCACGAAAGUUAUUAUGCUUGGCAAUUAAAGUUGUCAUCCUCACAUCAUCAAACUUGCGUCUAAAGCCGUUCGGAGCUGGCAUUGUCUCGAACGUUCGAUACUUAUCAGAUUCGUAAAUUUUGUAACACCAACGUGUAUGGAGUGGCCCGACAUUGCAGACGACGACUGGGUAAAAUUUCGUCUUGUUAUAACUCUUGACGUGUCGACGCUCGCUGCAAAGGCGACGACGCUGUUGGAGUGUUUGUCGCUGCUGCCAGCCGGGAAGAGCAAGAAGGGGAAAGGGGAUGGCCGCCGACGCCGCCUACGUGAAGCGGGUGCUGCUCGCCUGCAACGGCGGCGGCGACGCCGUCUCGCGGGGGGUCGCCGUCGGCCUAGCCAGGCACGGCUGCAGGUACUCCCUCUCACCUCGCCGCCGUUCCCCUUCUUCUUCCUGUUGCUCGGUUCUGAAUCUAAGCGCGCGCGCGCGCGUACAGGCUGGUCCUGGUGGGCGACGAGGGCGCCCUGGCCGCGACGGCGGAGGAGGCGCGGCGCUGCGCGGCCGGAGGGGCGGCGGCCGUCGCGGUGGUUGGGCUGGACUUCGCGGCCUGCGACGAGGCGGCCGUCGGCGCCGCGGUGGAGGCGGCCUGGCGCUGCUUCGGGGACGGCGGACUCGACGCCCUGGUCAACUGCUGCUCCUACGAGGGUAUGCACAUACUACUGACAGACACUGAUACACAUGCCCGAUUUCCCAUCUGACAGAAAUCUUUUACACAUGCCCAAGCCCGACUAAUCACCAACCCAAAUGUUGUCUGAAUCUUUCAGUCAGCUUAUCGUCCACUAAUUUCACCCAUGGACCUCUUUGACCAUGAAAUGUUUGCUUGACUGUAAGAGCAGGGGAAGUGCAAGACUGCCUCAGCGUGACUGAAGAUGAGUACAACAAGACCAUGAAAGUCAAUGUAAUCACACCCUGGCUUCUGAUAAAGGCGAUCGCCAAGCGGUUCCGCGAUGCGCAGUCCGGCGGCUCUGUGGUAUGCUUGACCCAGAUCAUCGGCGCCGAGAGAGGAUUGUAUCCGGGGGCGGCGGCAUAUGGCACAAGUUUAGGCGCCGUUCACCAGCUCGUCAGAGUAAGCCUUCUUCCUUGUUACCAAAAAAGCCUGAAUGAUUAAUCACGGAAAUCCUGAAUGCGUACAUGACCAUGAUGUUCUUUGUUUUUUCAGCUAUCGGCGAUGGAGCUCGGCAAGCACAAGAUCAGGGUGAAUGCCGUCUGCCGCGGCCUCCACCUGGGGGACAAGUUCCCUGUCUCUGUUGGGGAGGAGAAGGCCGAGAAGGCGACCAGGGAGGUAAUGCCGCUGCGGCGGUGGCUGGACCCAGAGAAGGACCUCGCUUCCACGGUGCUGUACCUGGUCGGCGACGACUCCCGCUUCAUGACAGGCACCACCAUCUACGUCGACGGCGCACAGUCCAUAGUGCGCCCUCGCAUGCGUUCCUUCCUGUAGGUAUGGUUGCCCAUGUCUGGGUUUCCACAUUCCAUCAGGAUGACUCCUGAUAUGUUGUUUGUCGAAUAACAGUGGGUCUCUGUGAAUGCAAUAAUUAAUGGCAGAGUAAAGAUCAAAUUUGAAAAGGACUACCCAGAAGCAACAUGAGCGGCACAGCAGGCCCCUCUUCAGAUUAAAAGUUUUUGAAGAACAAUCUGCUAAACUUUAUUAAAGGAGAGUAAUGUUUACAGGGACUCAUACAGGAUCAUAACCAUCAUCGCCGACAUCAAAACAAACUCUUGAAACUGAUUGUAUGCCUUAAUAGUUCUGGAACGAGAUACGCAAAGCCCAUCACAUAAAAUUGGAGCAAAACUUCAGGUGAAAGAACGGGUAAUGAUGUGGAGUGAGUCAGCAUAGGAUGCACAAUUGCUUGGUGGGUUGGUUGGUUCACUCGUCCUUCUCCGCCAGCGCAGCCUUGCGGCUGCUCCUCUCAGCGAGGACCGACUUGGUCUUCUCCAGCACGCCGAAGAAGAUGG
rnacentral:lncRNA from 1 species